CUAUAUUUAAAUAGAUGGUUGAUCUGAUUUUUAUGAAAGAGUUUAAUAUUAGAUCAACCUCCUCCAUGCCAAGCCACAUGCCAAAUUAAUUGAGAUGCCACAUUUAUUUUUGGCAUUAAAGAAGGAGAGUCCUUUCAUACUUCUCUUAAAUUCCUUACAUGUUCUACACGUUCUAUUAUUUUGUGCAACAUCAUAUGAUACUUUGGGAUAUGUGGGCAUAGA
rnacentral:lncRNA from 1 species